rnacentral:lncRNA from 1 species
AAACUUCAGAGCUGUAAUAAGAAUAAUGAGGUAAUGUGCAUAAAUCUGUUAGCACAGUGGCACAUAGUAAGCAGUCAACAAAUGUUAGCUAUUAGCCCUAUUACCACAUAGCUUGGGACACAAGUGGCAAUUAAAACCAAGGACAAACAAUGCAGACCAAAGCAAAGAGCCCUUCACUCACUAUGAACCUCCAGAGAGAUCUUAGCAGCGUGUGUGCCUUGGAAAUGAGCUGAAACUGGGCAACACAGAGAGGAAAACACAUUGUCAGCACAUCUAAAAUGUUUCCAUACAUUGUCCAGGGAGUGAAAUCUAAAAAAACUUGAAGAUUGGAGUUCUCUCCAGUUCUUAAAGGGAUACAAAGUUCUAAGUGCAAGUGCCUUCAGACUGUGCAGGUUCCCCACAACUUUGAAGCCAACUACCAUUCAUCUUGGUACCCAAACCCACAGUAUCAAGCACAUGCCUGCAAAACGGCAGCCCCGAAUCUUCCAGCCAGAGCCACAGGACGUUGCCCAGAAGGUCAUUCUCCCCCUAAAGCUGCCGCUUCACAGCAAACUCCAAACCACUUGGCUUCUCCACUCAAGUGCUGUGUUUUUCUGCUGCAUUUCCAAAAGGCUCUUGGAGAUUUCAUGUUUGUAUUUUCCCCUUUUCUGGCUUCAUGUUCUCCUAUGUAAAUGAAGAAAGCUCUUCCAGUAGGGAAGAACUGCACUGUUGGAGUUGCUGAUUUCAUACAUAUUUGCUCUCAUUUAAAGUAACUUUGCAUAUAGCAGCAUUCUGUACUGCUUAACGGAAAUCCAGAACAAUUUAAGAAAAAGCCCUUUUAAAAAUCAAUUCCAAUUAAGGACAAAGCAAAUUAAAGUGGAGCCAUACAGAUUCAUCUAAGAAAUAAAUAGUGUAGCCAUACUGCUGAAUGUUACUAA